rnacentral:rRNA from 1 species
UACGGGGGAUGCAAGCGUUAUCCGGAAUCAUUGGGCGUAAAGCGCCUGUAGGUUGUUUAAUAAGUCUGUUGUUAAAGACUGGGGCUUAACCCCAGGAAAGCAAUGGAAACUACUAGACUUGAGUAUGGCAGGGGUAGAGGGAAUUUCUAGUGUAGCGGUGAAAUGCGUAGAUAUUAGAAAGAACACCGGUGGCGAAGGCGCUCUACUGGACCAUUACUGACACUCAGAGGCGAAAGCUAGGGUAGCAAAAGGGAUUAGAUACCCCUGUAGUCCUAGCCGUAAACGAUGGAUACUAGAUGUUGUAUUUAUUUUACAGUGUCUUAGCUAACGCGUUAAGUAUCCCGCCUGGGGAGUACGCUCGCAAGGGUG